rnacentral:lncRNA from 1 species
UUUUAAUUACAGUGAAGCCAUUCCUGCUGUUCUGUUUCCCCUACAAGCUGCAGUCCUUGCAGUUUAGGGACUGCUGUCCCCAGAGUACAAGGGAGUUCCUUCCCUGUGUCUGAGGAAAAUGGUCCCCCUGGAAGUCAGGGAGAUGACCUGGGAUGUAGCAGCUGCAGAAUGGAUCAGUAUUUAAAUUGGUUGCAUUGUGUGAGCAGUGAGUGCAAAGAAUGGAAGACUUUUGAAAUGAAUUUACUGUUUGACUGGAAAGCCUGGGAUUCAUUUACUUCACUGAAAUAGAACAGUAUACUGCUCAGGAGCAUCUAUAUCCAAGAUGAACAAAUGGAACACCCAACAUGUUU